rnacentral:pre_miRNA from 1 species
AAACAGCCCCCUAUGUUUUGAUUCUUUGGCAGUUUUGGACCCCCAAGGCAAAAAAAAAAAAAAAUGACACGUGGCACCUCACGUAUGGUGCCACGUCAGCGUUGACCGAGUCAACAAUGGACUGCCAAAGAAUCAAAACAUAGGGGGCUGUUU